rnacentral:sRNA from 1 species
GUCAGACAUGGUGGUGCAUGCCUGUAAUCUCAGUUACUUGGGAGGCUGAGGCAGGAGGAUUCCCAGUACGGGGUGUGUGGGGGGGAUAACUUGCUUUGA